GACUGAACGCGUAGCGACAGGCUUAACACAUGCAAGUCGAGGGGCAGCAGUGAACGUUAGCUUGCUAAGUUUGAUGGCGACCGGCGCACGGGUGAGUAACGCGUAUGCAACUUACCUAUCAGAGGAGAAUAGCUCAUCGAAAGAUGAAUUAAUGCUCCAUAAAACAGGGGUCCCGCAUGGGAAUAUUUGUUAAAGAUUCAUCGCUGAUAGAUAGGCAUGCGUUCCAUUAGGCAGUUGGCGGGGUAACGGCCCACCAAACCGACGAUCAGUAGCCGGACUGAGAGGUUGGCCGGCCACAUUGGGACUGAGACACGGCCCAG
rnacentral:rRNA from 1 species